CUAAUUGGGCUUGGGACGCAAGCUCAGGUUUGAUCAUCCUGUAGCUGGCCGCCUCUGGAGAGGGUGUAUAGUGUUAAGGGCCGAAACACCCUAUGACCCAGAGGAACACUACUGAUGAUGCGUACCCGUAAAUUCAUUUCCUCUUCAAGACUAGGCUUUG